GGCCCGGUAGUUCAACGGAUAGAAUAGAGGUUUCCUAAACCUUAGAUAGCGGUUCGAUUCCGCUCCGGGCUACAA
rnacentral:tRNA from 1 species